CCUCUGUUACCUUCCACUGGACCUGCUCCAGGAACUCCAGGUCUUUCCUGUCCUGAGGAGCCCUGAACUGUCCUGUGUGUGCAUGAGGUAAUAGGUUCCCCAGCUGCUGCUUCUAAGGACCUGAGGUCUGAUCAUUGGGAAGCUUUCUCCAGAUGAUCAUUUAGAGACUCAGGAUGGUAAGAAAGGAUUUUUCACCUUGCACAGUGGUAACAACAUUGUUGUAAUUUCCUUGUCUUGCAGGUGAAGGACAGCAAAGGAGCAUGGACAUUCCUUAUGUCCCUCUGCCACUAUCCACUGACUCUUUAUGUGUAUUACAGAGUUUCUUCCCAUCAAUAGGCCUGCCCUUUCCCCUGUCUGAGGCUUUCUAUGGGACGAGCAGCAGGACAAGUGCCUUCCUCUUAGCCUUGUGGCCAAGGGAAAAAAAGGAGACUGGCCCGGCAAAUGGCACAUGUUUCCUUGGCAGGGCUGGUCUUUGCCAGGGAAAGGUUGUCGUCUUGGGGAGAGAGCUGUGACAUACUGCCCUGCCUGACUGCCCAGCCUGACCCCUGGCUUGGGUUCCCUGGGAUUUUUCUGUUUGUUACAACAAAUAUCCUGUAAUUCAAGCUUUGUGUGGGGUCAUACGCUGCUCAGUAGAGUUUCAGUAGAUAGCAGGUUUCUUUCUAGUUAACAUGACAGGUGUUUAGUUUUUUCCUGUCAUUCACCAGAAAUCUCACCUUUCUUCCUCCCAUGUUAUAUAAGUCAGUUCUGGCUUUUGCCUGUCCAUGCAGUCAGAAGAUGACAAUUUCUGAUUACUCUCCCCCUGCCUAAAAAGCAAUGGAAGAGCAACAGAAAAAAAAAAAAAAAGAGUGAUUUCUCUCUAAAUUUCUAAUUAAAUUGGGUUGUGUGGUCUUUCUAGUUUGAUUAACCCUGUAAUUAAUAAUGACCAGGUGAGGCAGGAUAGUUAUUUUUCUUUGGGUUUUUUUCUGUCCCAUGAAUGCUGGGAAAGGUUGCAAGGAAGGCACUUAGUUAUGAGAACAGUUUUCCUCUCCUGUUGGUACAAUUCCUAAAAUAUGGCCAUGUUUUAAACCCCUGUGAAGAGCAAAAUUUUAUUAUUUCUCCUCUAGAAGAUUUCUGCAGAGAAGCUAAUCCUUGGUCCUGCUUAGCCACAGGAGGGAAAAGGACGGUGUUAAUGCCUUGCCCUGUUUUUCUAUUUUCUUUUUUUUUUUUUUUUUUUUUAAUUUCUCUUUGAAGCAAAUGACCCAGGGCAAAACAUGGUUGUGAAGGUUUGCAACUACCCUCGGAGUGGAUGUGAGCUCAGCCAUGCUGGUCCAGCAUUGAGGGGAAAAGGGAUGCACAUUCAGGAAUGCCUGCAGAUACAGUUUUGUCUACAGCUUGUUGCAGAGCUAUAAAGAUGUUGGUAUAAGUCACAAGAGUUUUGGAGACCGGAAAUACUUGAUUUCAGUAGUUGAAUUUAAAGUUAUCUGAAGAUUGUUGCAGGUCCUGAACAUGCUCAAGAACAUUUUACAGUCCCUGAAAUGUGUCUAUUUCCAAGCUGAAAAUGGCAGCACGGCAAGACAUUGGCAAUAGCAUUUCAACACAAAAGUGCAUGUAGAUCUUCAUCAAGCUGCUAUUGUCUGAAGUGGAAUUUGGUGCAGAAAUCCCAUCUGAGCAACUGAGAAGGAUUUUUUUUCCUGUGUGUGUAUGACUGAAGGAGAAAAGGGCAACUGGAGUGAAAGUGUUAGCUCAGACUGGUUGCAGUGCACGCAGGUGCUGCUAUUGGGGACUGUGUGGCCAGGAGUUUUACAGUCGGCUGUAGAGCUGGACACACACAUGGGAGAAACAAGGAUGGAGAGGAUGCAUCAGGACAGCAUUGAGGUUCCCUUCAGGCACUGGAAGGCCACAAUGAGGUCACCCUGC